rnacentral:rRNA from 1 species
GCGGCGGCCUACACAUGCNAGUCGAGGGGCAGCACAGNAAAUAGCUUGCUAUUUGGGUGGCGACCGGCGCACGGGUGCGUAACGCGUAUGCAACCUACCUUAUACUGGGGUAUAGCCCGGAGAAAUUCGGAUUAAUCCCCCAUGGUAUUAUUGGAUCGCAUGGUUUGAUAAUUAAAGGAUACGGUAUAAGAUGGGCAUGCGUCCUAUUAGCUAGAUGGUAAGGUAACGGCUUACCAUGGCUACGAUAGGUAGGGGGCCUGAGAGGGUGGUCCCCCACACUGGUACUGAGCANGGAACCANANCUCNUACGGGAGGCAGCAGUGAGGAAUAUUGGUCAAUGGGCGCAAGCCUGAACCAGCCAUGCCGCGUGCAGGAAGAAUGCCCUAUGGGUUGUAAACUGCUUUUAUUUAGGAAUAAACUCUUGUACGUGUACAAGCCUGAAGGUACUAAAUGAAUAAGCACCGGCUAACUCCGUGCCAGCAGCCGCGGUAAUACGGAGGGUGCAAGCGUUAUCCGGAAUCAUUGGGUUUAAAGGGUCCGCAGGCGGAUUUAUAAGUCAGUGGUGAAAUCCUAUCGCUUAACGAUAGAACUGCCAUUGAUACUGUAAGUCUUGAAUUCGGUCGAAGUGGGCGGAAUGUGUAGUGUAGCGGUGAAAUGCAUAGAUUAUUACACAGAACACCGAUAGCGAAGGCAGCUCACUAGGCCUGGAUUGACGCUCAGGGAC